ACACACGUGUUACAAUGGGGGGUACGAGAAGGCCGCUACCUGGUGACAGGAUGCCAAUCCCUAAAACCUCUCUCAGUUCGGAUCGAAGUCUGCAACCCGACUUCGUGAAGCUGGAUUCGCUAGUAAUCGCGCAUCAGCCAUGGCGCGGUGAAUACGUUCCCGGGCCUUGUACACACCGCCCGUCAAGCCAUGAAAGCCGGGGGUACCUGAAGUACGUAACCGCAAGGAGCGUCCUAGGGUAAAACUGGUAAUUGGGGCUAAGUCGUAACAAGGUAUC
rnacentral:rRNA from 1 species